UCUACGCUAGCUUCAUUUUCAUUACUACGCAUUGACAUUCUCCGGUAACCUCACCAUAGCAACAAAGACUGCUGAGAUACACUUCCCAACAAUCCUAACUCCCUGGCAGAGGCACAGACAGCUUGAGCUGCCUGGAAGAGACACCCUGCAAACUACUGAUCUGCCUCAUGCAGGAACACCAGGCUUCUAGCUCUAUAAGUCCUCACCAAUAUCAGGUUGACCUUCUGCUGAUGUGACUGUCUUUGCGUCACUCCUGUAAGGAACCCCUCAUCUACAUUCCUCUAAGUAGCACAAGCUGUAUGCCAGUGAGCCACCUGCUGGCUUCUACAAAGAAACACAUCUCCAAUGUUGGUGAUUAUGAGGAAAAAGAAAAUCAAAAGAAACAAUAACACCAUUAAGAUGAACCAUUUGAAAAAUAAAGUUGUUUUUUAAGGAAGAUGAGAUGACUGAACAGAUAAAGGUUGAGACCUGAGUUCAAUUCCCAGAAGCCACAUAAAGAUGUGGAGAGAACCAAUGCUUACCAAGUUGUCUUCUAACCACAAGGAUGGCAUGGCACACACAUGCACAUCCAUUCUUAAUUUAAAGUGAUUGCUUGCUGUAAUAAGUUAUUCUCAGUUAACUCCUGACACUUAAAUUGGGUUGUAUUAAAAAGUGAUUUUGAUCCAUUAAGCAUAAGAAAAGGCAUUACUAUGGUAUUGUAAAGCCAUUUUAUAUUCUCUAUACCUUAAAAUUAUUAUUCCUAUUUUGUAAUUGGGGGACAGGCUAGAAACAGGCUGGCUAAAUUUCAGGUGAACAGGAACCUAAGCCACACAUACAAUAAACCUACAAUGUUGAACAAAAGAGAAGUUGUACUUCUAAUCUCACCUGGCUGUAUUGUACUUGGUUUUUCUUUAAACAAUCCUUCUAAACUGCAUCUCACCAUGCAUUUGCAGAGCACACUUACUAUCAAUGUUUGUGAUUUAUUUUGAUGCUCAGUUAACAUUGACUUGCUGAGUCCAGAGACAUGAAGUUAAGUUUCUAGUGUUUAUUACAGUGAUAUUUGAAGACCUCCCCUCCCACUGAUGCCAAAUAAGGCUCCUUCAGCUCCUUCAGUCCUUCCUCAAACUCCUCCAUUGGGGUCCACUGCACAUUCUGGUGUCUUCCCUUGAGACGGGAU